rnacentral:rRNA from 1 species
UACGUAGGGUGCAAGCGUUGUCCGGAAUUAUUGGGCGUAAAGGGCUCGUAGGCGGUUUGUCGCGUCGGGAGUGAAAACCCAGGGCUUAACCCUGAGCCUGCUUCCGAUACGGGCAGACUAGAGGUAUGCAGGGGAGAAUGGAAUUCCUGGUGUAGCGGUGAAAUGCGCAGAUAUCAGGAGGAACACCGGUGGCGAAGGCGGUUCUCUGGGCAUUACCUGACGCUGAGGAGCGAAAGUGUGGGGAGCGAACAGG